ensembl:lncRNA novel transcript
AGGAUUGUAAAUGAUGCCACUUUUCAACAAGCAGCGAUCCAGUAAGGGGAUUAGAGGCAUGAAUUUUAACUGACAAAAAAAUGAAUUUGAAGAAUACAGUGAUUUUGUUUCUUGAAGGUGAUGACAGGGGAGUUUAAGGAGCACACAAAAGAUUAGCAUUAUCUCCUCAGCAGAAUGUGACAAAACAUUACUGGGUUAUGUGAAACAUUUCCAAGAUGAAUUGAAGACCAAGCUGAACGUCCAUCCUCCUUUUCUACUUCUUAUGAUAAGAAUAAGAAGCCUUUGCCUGGGUGCUGGUGCUCAGUCUUACCUACUGUCUCAGAAUUCUAUUUAAUGAUUUUCCUGAAGUUCUUCAGAAUAUGUGAUAUCACUUGUAUAAAGUCAGGUACAACAGCAAUAUAGAGGUAUAGUAUAUAAUUUAAUUUGAUCAUUUCAAUUUUUGAAUUUCCUAAAAUUCACAAAAUCUUUAACAAGAUUAUGUAGUGGAAAUAAUGGUUGGUCAUACAGUUUGUCUGUGUCUGCACCCAAAUCUCAACUUGAAUUGUAUUUCCCAGAAUUCCCACACAAUGUGGGAGGGACCCAGUGGAGAUAACUGAAUAUGGGUGCCAGUCUUUCUCGUGCUAUUUUAUUAUUUUUUUUUAAACAGAGUCUUGCUCUGUCACCCAGGCUGGAGUGCAAUGGCACAAUCUCCGCUCACUGCAACCUCCACCUCCCAGGUUCAAGUGAUUCUCCUGCCUCAGCCUCCCAAGUAGCUGGGAUUACAGGCACCUGCCACCAUGCCCAACUAAUUUUUGUAAUUUUAGCAGAGACGGGGUUGCAACAUGUUGGUCAGGCUGGUCUCGAACUCCUGACAUCAGGUGAUCUGCCUGUCUUGGCCUCCCAAAGUGCUGGGAUUACAGGUGUGAGCCACCAUGCCCAGCCCCCAGUGCUAUUCUUGUGAUAGUGAAUAAGUCUCACAAGAUCUGAUGGGUUUAUCAGGGGUUUCCACUUUUGUUUCUUCCUUAUUCUCUCUUGCCACAACCAUGUAAGAAAUGCCUUUUGCCCUCCACCAUGAUUCUGAGGCCUCCCCAGCCAUUUGGAACUGUAAGUCCAAUUAAACCUCUUUUUGUUCCUAGUUUCGGGUAUGUCUUUAUCAGCAGCGUGAAAAUGAAUUAAUACAGUUUGCUUGGCUGUUGUUGCUUCCUCAGUUAAAUAACUUAAUUUAAAAUUUGAAAUUUUAAUACCAGUAGUAGUAUGGAGAAAGGAGAUCUUUUAUAGAAGAAUGUAGAAGAUUGCUUAGUAAUAUCUUUUUUUUUUUUUGAGACAGAGUUUCACUCUUUUCACCUGGGCUUGAUUGCAAUGGCAUGAUCUCAGCUCACUCCAACCUCUGCUUUCCAGGUUCAAGCGAUUCUCCUGCCUCAGUUUCCCGAGUAGCUGGGAUUACAGGCACCUGCCACCACACCCAGCUAAUUUUUGUAUUUUUAGUAGGCGUCUGCCACCAUACCUUGCUAAUUUUUUUGUAUUUUUAGUAGAGAUGUGGUCUCACCAUGUUGGCCAAGCUGGUCUUGAACUCCUGACCACGGCCUCCCAAAGUGCUGGGAUUACAAGCUCGACCCUGUUGGGAGCAAGCCCCCCCAAAUCCUGCCAUAAACUGGCCCCAAGACUGGCCAUAAACAAAAUCUCUGCAGCACUGUGAUAGGUUCAUAAUGGCCCUAACACCCAAGCUGGAAGGUUGUGGGUUUACGGGAAUGAGGGCAAGGAACACUUGGCCUGCCCAAGGCGGAAAACCGCUUAAAGGCAUUCUUAAGCCACAAUUAGCCUGACCGAUCUGUGUCUUAAGGGCAUGUUCCUGCUGCAAUUAAUUCGGCCCAUCCCUUCGUUUCCCUUAAGGGAUACUUUUAGUUAAUUUAAUAUCUAUAGAAACCAUGCUAAUGACUGGUUUGCUGUUAAUAAAUAUGUGGGUAAAUCUCUGUUCAGGGCUCUCAGCUCUGAAGGCUGUGAGACCCCUGAUUUCCCACUUCACACCUCUGUAUUUCUGUGUGUGUGUCUUUAAUUCCUCUAGCGCAGCUGGGUUAGGGUCUCCCUGACCAAGCUGGUCUCAGCAGAGCCAUUGCACCCGACAAGUUGGUUAAUAAUAUCUAUUCAAUUCACAAAUAUGUAUGAACCUUAUUUAAACAAUUCCAGUGUAAAAAUGUGUCUAUACAUAUAUGUAUAAAACUGUGCCAGUUAGUUUUUUCCUGGGAAAAAAAUCAUUUUGUAUAUGUUGAUUUAUACAGAGUUAUAAGAUCAUUUUGACAUGAUAAAAGAAAGGUGAUGUAGGAUAUGAAUAGUAUGAAAUCAUACAUACAAAUUAAAUAUAUUUAUAUACUGGUCUAUGCAUACAAAUAGUAGAGAAAUGUACAUACCAAACUGGUAAUGGGUAUCACAUAACGCCAGUGGAGGUGGAGGUGUUUGGAGGAGACAUAAAGUUUAAUUUUUAAAUUAUUCUGUACUUUUUGUGUUUUCUUUACAGCAUAUAUUCAUCAUAUUAUUUCAAAAUAAAUUUUGAAAUAAAGAUGAAUUAAGUCACAGGAUUUAGUAUGACUUUGACUUCUUG